UGCCAGCCGCCGCGGUAAUACGUAGGGUGCGAGCGUUAAUCGGAAUUACUGGGCGUAAAGCGUGCGCAGGCGGUUUUGCAAGACCGAUGUGAAAUCCCCGGGCUUAACCUGGGAACUGCAUUGGUGACUGCAAGGCUAGAGUGUGUCAGAGGGAGGUGGAAUUCCGCGUGUAGCAGUGAGAUGCGUAGAUAUGCGGAGGAACACCGAUGGCGAAGGCAGCCUCCUGGGAUAACACUGACGCUCAUGCACGAAAGCGUGGGGAGCAAACAGGAUUAGAUA
rnacentral:rRNA from 1 species